ensembl:lncRNA
CUCUUGUCUAAGGGUGGCAAUGCUUGCUACAGGUCCAGGUGGCACAUGCAUAGGCCACACUGACUUGGGAUAGUUAGCAGUGUUCUGGGCCAGCUGCCAAGUCUGCCCUGGGGUUGUUCCCGAUUGGGCAAUUUAGGUCACAGGCCCAUCUCUGGAGCAAAGAGAUUGUGGCCUGGAUGGGGAGGAGGAAUCGGGGUUGGCCCCAGGCUCAGGAGUUGAGAGGAAGAGUGGAGAGUGGAAUGAACCCGGGCUGUCCCUAAAAAGAAAGGGAGGGACGGAUGUGGACAGGGGCCUCCAGCAAGCACAGUGGAGGGGACAGGAGAGAUUGACAAGCAAAGCCCUCGGGCGGCUCCGGCUGCUUGAGGAUGAGGAUGCAGAGUUCUCCCUGCUCGGCUUCAGGUGGACUUGCUGCCCUGGGAGGGGGCCUGGUGCUUCCAGAAGCCGCUUCGCAGGUAAAGGGCACCCAGCUGCAGGACCUGCCUGUGUCCUCCGAGGCGCUGUCGGCCUGCGGGAUUGUGGCGGGGCCUCCGGGUGAGGCUCGAGGAGUGGAGCUGGGCCAGAUCGAUCGCUUCGUUUGGAUGGAAAAGAACCUAAAAUUUCUCAAUAAGGUUUCUAUUGAUUAGACGGUGGAAUGAUCGUAUUUGGGGCAUGCUCAUGGGUUAAAUUCACUUGUUUGAUUUUCCUUUUUUGGGGGGCCGCAUUCGAGAGACAUGGAAGGUCCCUGGGCCAGGGAUUGAAUCAGAGCCGCAUGGGCGACCUACGCCACAGCUGAGGUAACACGGGACCCUUAACCCACUGCAGCACAGCGGGAACUCCCUGCUGCACGUCUCUGAGCCACACUGUCUUCCUUGAGGAGGCGCUGCUGAGGGUGACGGAGACCCCCCUACUGGAGGUGCCACUGAGGUGUGGCAGGGAGGGGGCAUCCAUCCGUCUGUCCCCAGGCCUCGGACCCUGGUGCCUGAGAGACACGGAUGCUGCAAGACUCCAUCUCCAGCACCACCACUGCUGCGCUCAGACCCUGGGGCUCUGUCAGGAGUCUGCCCUGCACGGCUUUUAUCAAAACAUCCAAAACUAGGCCAGAGACAAGGCCAGGGAACCUGCAGCCCUCGGGCCACUCCAGGCCGCCUACCAGGUUCCGGCAGAGCUGCCGGGCGGGACGUGGACCCCGCGGGCACUUUCGAGCCUGUGCACCCCAGCGUCCCUUCUGCUGCCGUGCUGUGGCCUCAGGGACAGUCACAAAGCCGGGCAGCAAAAGAGUUCUCCACAGAGCGCUGCUGGAGUCCGGGAGCCUGGAGUCCGUGAACCUGGACGAGAAAACAGUCACAUCCAUAUCGGCACCAACUAAAUUCAGCAUCGCCCUGCCUUGUGAAUGUGAGCAGCAAAACCCAGUGAGGUCUGUGGUUUUGCCACCAAUGUUAUCAACCACAAACCCCACUGGGUUUCCGAGCGUCCUACCUUUAUUGCAGAAAUUUCAGGACGGCAUUUGGACUCAAAUCACGGUAGUUCUUAAAUCCGCUACUAGAUAUUCUUUUAAAUGUGCUAGGAAGAAGUAGGAGUUCCCCGGUGGCCUAGCUGGUUAGGAAUCCUGCAUUAUCACUGCUGUAGCUGGGUUAGAUUCCUGGCCUGGGAGUGUCUGCAGGCUGCUGGCCAAAAAAAAAAAGAAGAAGAAGGAGAAAAGGAAGAGGAAGGGGAAGAAAAGAAGAAGAGGCAUGUAUAUUAAACAAUAGUUUGACAAAUUUCAGUGCAUUUGGCUUCCUUUAUAAUCCUACGUAUUUUGCUAUUUUGCAUUGUGCAUUUAAAAACAUGAUCCUGGAGUUCCCGUCGUGGCGCAGUGGUUGACGGGUCCGACUAGGAACCAUGAGGUUGCGGGUUCGGUCCCUGCCCUUGCUCAGUGGGUUAACGAUCCGGCGUUGCCGUGAGCUGUGGUGUAGGUUGCAGACUCGGCUCGGAUCCCGCGCUGCUGUGGCUCUGGCGUAGGCUAGUGGCUGCGGCUCUGAUUCGACCCCUGGCCUGGGAACCUCCAUGUGCCGCGGGAGCGGCCCAGGAGAUAGCAACAACAACAACAACAAAAAGACAAAAAGACAAAAAAAAAAAACAAAAAAAACAACAUGAUCCUGAGAAGGGGUGUCAAAAGCCUAGUUAAUCCUUUUUUUUUUUUUUUUUUUUGUCUUUUUGUCUUUUGUCGUUGUUGUUUGUUGUUGUUGCUAUCUAUCUCUUGGGCCGCUUCCGCGGCACAUGGAGGUUCCCAGGCCAGGGGUUGAAUCGGAGCUGUAGCCACCGGCCUACGCCAGAGCCACAGCAACUCGGGAUCCGAGCCGCGUCUGCAACCUACACUACAGCUCACGGCAACGCCGGAUCGUUAACCCACUGAGCAAGGGCAGGGACCGAACCCGCAACCUCAUGGUUCCUAGUCGGAUUUGUUAACCACUGCGCCACGACGGGAACUCCCUAAUUCUUUUUUUUUUUUUUUUUUUUUUUUUUGGCUGUGCCCAAGGCAGGUGGAAGUUCCCCGGCCAGGGACUGAAUCUGAGCCACGACAGUGACCCAAGCCAC